UAAGCGACUAAGCGUACACGGUGGAUGCCCUGGCAGUCAGAGGCGAUGAAGGACGUGCUAAUCUGCGAUAAGCGUCGGUAAGGUGAUAUGAACCGUUAUAACCGGCGAUUUCCGAAUGGGGAAACCCAGUGUGAUUCGUCACACUAUCAUUAACUGAAUCCAUAGGUUAAUGAGGCGAACCGGGGGAACUGAAACAUCUAAGUACCCCGAGGAAAAGAAAUCAACCGAGAUUCCCCCAGUAGCGGCGAGCGAACGGGGAGCAGCCCAGAGCCUGAAUCAGUGUGUGUGUUAGUGGAAGCGUCUGGAAAGGCGCGCGAUACAGGGUGACAGCCCCGUACACAAAAAUGCACAUGCUGUGAGCUCGAUGAGUAGGGCGGGACACGUGGUAUCCUGUCUGAAUAUGGGGGGACCAUCCUCCAAGGCUAAAUACUCCUGACUGACCGAUAGUGAACCAGUACCGUGAGGGAAAGGCGAAAAGAACCCCGGCGAGGGGAGUGAAAAAGAACCUGAAACCGUGUACGUACAAGCAGUGGGAGCACGCUUAGGCGUGUGACUGCGUACCUUUUGUAUAAUGGGUCAGCGACUUAUAUUCUGUAGCAAGGUUAACCGAAUAGGGGAGCCGAAGGGAAACCGAGUCUUAACUGGGCGUUAAGUUGCAGGGUAUAGACCCGAAACCCGGUGAUCUAGCCAUGGGCAGGUUGAAGGUUGGGUAACACUAACUGGAGGACCGAACCGACUAAUGUUGAAAAAUUAGCGGAUGACUUGUGGCUGGGGGUGAAAGGCCAAUCAAACCGGGAGAUAGCUGGUUCUCCCCGAAAGCUAUUUAGGUAGCGCCUCGUGAAUUCAUCUCCGGGGGUAGAGCACUGUUUCGGCAAGGGGGUCAUCCCGACUUACCAACCCGAUGCAAACUGCGAAUACCGGAGAAUGUUAUCACGGGAGACACACGGCGGGUGCUAACGUCCGUCGUGAAGAGGGAAACAACCCAGACCGCCAGCUAAGGUCCCAAAGUCAUGGUUAAGUGGGAAACGAUGUGGGAAGGCCCAGACAGCCAGGAUGUUGGCUUAGAAGCAGCCAUCAUUUAAAGAAAGCGUAAUAGCUCACUGGUCGAGUCGGCCUGCGCGGAAGAUGUAACGGGGCUAAACCAUGCACCGAAGCUGCGGCAGCGACGCUGAUGCGUUGUUGGGUAGGGGAGCGUUCUGUAAGCCUGCGAAGGUGUGCUGUGAGGCAUGCUGGAGGUAUCAGAAGUGCGAAUGCUGACAUAAGUAACGAUAAAGCGGGUGAAAAGCCCGCUCGCCGGAAGACCAAGGGUUCCUGUCCAACGUUAAUCGGGGCAGGGUGAGUCGACCCCUAAGGCGAGGCCGAAAGGCGUAGUCGAUGGGAAACAGGUUAAUAUUCCUGUACUUGGUGUUACUGCGAAGGGGGGACGGAGAAGGCUAUGUUGGCCGGGCGACGGUUGUCCCGGUUUAAGCGUGUAGGCUGGUUUUCCAGGCAAAUCCGGAAAAUCAAGGCUGAGGCGUGAUGACGAGGCACUACGGUGCUGAAGCAACAAAUGCCCUGCUUCCAGGAAAAGCCUCUAAGCAUCAGGUAACAUCAAAUCGUACCCCAAACCGACACAGGUGGUCAGGUAGAGAAUACCAAGGCGCUUGAGAGAACUCGGGUGAAGGAACUAGGCAAAAUGGUGCCGUAACUUCGGGAGAAGGCACGCUGAUAUGUAGGUGAAGUCCCUCGCGGAUGGAGCUGAAAUCAGUCGAAGAUACCAGCUGGCUGCAACUGUUUAUUAAAAACACAGCACUGUGCAAACACGAAAGUGGACGUAUACGGUGUGACGCCUGCCCGGUGCCGGAAGGUUAAUUGAUGGGGUUAGCGCAAGCGAAGCUCUUGAUCGAAGCCCCGGUAAACGGCGGCCGUAACUAUAACGGUCCUAAGGUAGCGAAAUUCCUUGUCGGGUAAGUUCCGACCUGCACGAAUGGCGUAAUGAUGGCCAGGCUGUCUCCACCCGAGACUCAGUGAAAUUGAACUCGCUGUGAAGAUGCAGUGUACCCGCGGCAAGACGGAAAGACCCCGUGAACCUUUACUAUAGCUUGACACUGAACAUUGAGCCUUGAUGUGUAGGAUAGGUGGGAGGCUUUGAAGUGUGGACGCCAGUCUGCAUGGAGCCGACCUUGAAAUACCACCCUUUAAUGUUUGAUGUUCUAACGUUGACCCGUAAUCCGGGUUGCGGACAGUGUCUGGUGGGUAGUUUGACUGGGGCGGUCUCCUCCUAAAGAGUAACGGAGGAGCACGAAGGUUGGCUAAUCCUGGUCGGACAUCAGGAGGUUAGUGCAAUGGCAUAAGCCAGCUUGACUGCGAGCGUGACGGCGCGAGCAGGUGCGAAAGCAGGUCAUAGUGAUCCGGUGGUUCUGAAUGGAAGGGCCAUCGCUCAACGGAUAAAAGGUACUCCGGGGAUAACAGGCUGAUACCGCCCAAGAGUUCAUAUCGACGGCGGUGUUUGGCACCUCGAUGUCGGCUCAUCACAUCCUGGGGCUGAAGUAGGUCCCAAGGGUAUGGCUGUUCGCCAUUUAAAGUGGUACGCGAGCUGGGUUUAGAACGUCGUGAGACAGUUCGGUCCCUAUCUGCCGUGGGCGCUGGAGAACUGAGGGGGGCUGCUCCUAGUACGAGAGGACCGGAGUGGACGCAUCACUGGUGUUCGGGUUGUCAUGCCAAUGGCACUGCCCGGUAGCUAAAUGCGGAAGAGAUAAGUGCUGAAAGCAUCUAAGCACGAAACUUGCCCCGAGAUGAGUUCUCCCUGACUCCUUGAGAGUCCUGAAGGAACGUUGAAGACGACGACGUUGAUAGGCCGGGUGUGUAAGCGCAGCGAUGCGUUGAGCUAACCGGUACUAAUGAACCGUGAGGCUUAACCU
rnacentral:rRNA from 1 species